rnacentral:rRNA from 1 species
GACGAACGCUGGCGGCGUGCUUAACACAUGCAAGUCGAACGGAGCGAAUGAAAGCUUGCUUUUAUGAGCUUAGUGGGCAAACGGGUGAGUAACACGUAGACAACCUGCCGAUAGGAUGGGGACAACAUUCCGAAAGGAAUGCUAAUACCGAAUGGCGUGUAGGGGAGGCAUCUCCCGUACAUGAAAGAUGGCCUCUGAAUAUGCUAUCACCUAUCGAUGGGUCUGCGUCUGAUUAGCUAGUAGGUAAGGUAACGGCUUACCUAGGCGACGAUCAGUAGCCGGUCUGAGAGGAUGAACGGCCACAUUGGGACUGAGACACGGCCCAGACUCCUACGGGAGGCAGCAGUGGGGAAUCUUCCGCAAUGGGCGCAAGCCUGACGGAGCAACGCCGCGUGAGUGAAGAAGGUCUUCGGAUCGUAAAGCUCUGUUGAAGGGGACGAACGUAUAUAGUGCGAA